GAGUUUGAUCGUGGCUCAGAUUGAACGCUGGCGGCAUGCCUUACACAUGCAAGUCGAACGGCAGCAUGAUCUAGCUUGCUAGAUUGAUGGCGAGUGGCGAACGGGUGAGUAAUACAUCGGAACGUGCCCUGUAGUGGGGGAUAACUAGUCGAAAGAUUAGCUAAUACCGCAUACGACCUGAGGGUGAAAGUGGGGGACCGCAAGGCCUCAUGCUAUAGGAGCGGCCGAUGUCUGAUUAGCUAGUUGGUGGGUAAAGGCCCACCAAGGCGACGAUCAGUAGCUGGUCUGAGAGGACGAUCAGCCACACUGGGACUGAGACACGGCCCAGACUCCUACGGGAGGCAGCAGUGGGGAAUUUUGGACAAUGGGCGAAAGCCUGAUCCAGCAAUGCCGCGUGUGUGAAGAAGGCCUCGGUGU
rnacentral:rRNA from 1 species